rnacentral:rRNA from 1 species
AUUGAACGCUGGCGGCAGGCCUAACACAUGCAAGUCGAGCGGAUGAAGGGAGCUUGCUCCUGGAUUCAGCGGCGGACGGGUGAGUAAUGCCUAGGAAUCUGCCUGGUAGUGGGGGAUAACGUCCGGAAACGGGCGCUAAUACCGCAUACGUCCUGAGGGAGAAAGUGGGGGAUCUUCGGACCUCACGCUAUCAGAUGAGCCUAGGUCGGAUUAGCUAGUUGGUGGGGUAAAGGCCUACCAAGGCGACGAUCCGUAACUGGUCUGAGAGGAUGAUCAGUCACACUGGAGCUGAGACACGGUCCAGACUCCCACGGGAGGCAGCAGUGGGGAAUAUUGGACAAUGGGCGAAAGCCUGAUCCAGCCAUGCCGCGUGUGUGAAGAAGGUCUUCGGAUUGUAAAGCACUUUAAGUUGGGAGGAAGGGCAGUAAGUUAAUACCUUGCUGUUUUGACGUUACCAACAGAAUAAGCACCGGCUAACUUCGUG